rnacentral:rRNA from 1 species
GAUGAACGCUAGCGGCAGGCUUAACACAUGCAAGUCGAGGGGCAGCGCGGGGCGGCAACGUCCUGGCGGCGACCGGCGGAAGGGUGCGUAACGCGUGAGCGACAUGCCCGUUGCCCGGGGACAACCGGUGGAAACGCCGACUAAUCCCCGAUGGGACGGAGGCCCUCAUGGGUCUCUGUUGAAAGUUACGGCGGCGACGGAUUGGCUCGCGUCCGAUUAGCUUGUUGGCGGGGUAACGGCCCACCAAGGCUACGAUCGGUAGGGGUUCUGAGAGGAAGGUCCCCCACAAUGGAACUGAGACACGGUCCAUACUCCUACGGGAGGCAGCAGUGAGGAAUAUUGGUCAAUGGGCGGAAGCCUGAACCAGCCAUGCCGCGUGCGGGAAGGAGGCCCUAUGGGCUGUGAACCGCUUUUGCCUGGGGGCAAUAAGGGCGUCGUGCACGUCCGAUGAGAGUACCAGGCGAAUAAGCAUCGGCUAACUCCGUGCCAGCAGCCGCGGUAAUACGGGGGAUGCGAGCGUUAUCCGGAUUCAUUGGGUUUAAAGGGUGCGUAGGCUGUGCGUCAAGUCAGGGGUGAAAUUCCGGGGCUCAACUCCGGGGCUGCCCUUGAUACUGUCGCGCUGGAGUGCGGAUGCCGCCGGAGGAAUGAGUGGUGUAGCGGUGAAAUGCUUAGAUAUCACUCAGAACACCGAUUGCGAAGGCAUCUGGCGAAUCCGUAACUGACGCUGAGGCACGAAAGCGUGGGGAUAGAACAGGAUUAGAUACCCUGGUAUUCCACGCCGUAAACGAUGAUGGCUAACCGCCGGCGACACACUGUCGGUGGCCAAGCGAAAGCGAUAAGCCAUCCACCUGGGGAGUACGUCGGCAACGAUGCAACUCAAAG